ACCCACUGGAGAUGUAAAUUAGUCAUUCAUAUUCAAAACUCAUGUUUCACAAUGGAAUGUUCAAUUUAUUAUCUUAUAAACGGUUGUUUUGAAACAACUGCUGUUUCUAUUUGUAUCUCACCAUUCUCUUGAACAAAACCAAAUGAAUCAAAACUGAUUGUCAUAUUCAAGAAGCAUGCACUAACCUACAUAAGUCUCCCAUUUCUAUGGACAUGAAAUAAAACUAAAUAAUAAAAUAAAAUUUCUCCAUUUUCUAUGGACAUGAAAUAAAACUAAAUAAUAAAAUAAAUUUCUCCAUGUACUAUACCUCUUAGUUAUCUUGUAACAUUUCCCUUUUUCUUGUCUUGCUACGUUUGGCUUAACUUUUCAUUUUCUCAGUCUUGAUUGUCCAAUUACUGUGCUGCUCCAUGUCACAUUUCUCCCAUCUUUUACCUUUUUCUAACAUUUCCAACACCAGCAUAAAUGAAUUCUUACAUGAACAAACUAUUGCAGAAAGCUCUUUAAUCGAGUCUGCAAAUUUCCUUCAUAUGAAAACAAUCACCAGUUCUCAACACCAUCAAGGAGUUCAAGUGCUGUCUAUUUUGCUGUGCAAAUCGACGGAAAUAAUAGCUCCAAAGAGAACUCUUGUAGAUGAAAUCUGAAAACCUGAAAAAUGAAACAGCCCUGUUGAACUUGUAUCUAGUUCAUCAUUGCGGCGCAUCCAUGUAGACCAAAUGGCAAGGACUAAUCAUGAGACAUAAUGUAGAUGAAAGUCUUUUGUUUUGAUUCCAUCACCUAAAGGGCUUAAACUAUUUUAGGAUGUGGGUCUAAUAGACCAGCAUUUUUUACACCAUAUUAGGUCAUGACAGAAGUAAGAUUUUCAAGCAAGACCAUUACCUUAUCUACCUGUCCUUGAGAAUUUCUACUGCUGUUUCUAGUCAGGUGUUCAAAGUUCAAACCAAUUGCUAAAUGUAAACAUGCUAAAAGAAACCAUGUUUGCUACAAAAUGUACAGUCUCAUGCUAUGUGCAAUAAAAGAGAAAUGCAAAACAUUGAACAAGCAAACCUCAUCCUGAUCAUGGGAAAUUUUUUUUUUUUCCUGGGUACUACAAUCCCAGGGUACCCAUUGAUACCUUGUUAAUUUACAUCCACCUUCAUAUAUCGGUGGAACACCUCUGUUUAAUCAAUUACAAUGACAGGGUGAAUAAUACAGUCAUAAGGAAGAAAAAAUGUACAUCAUGGUUAUUUAAUACAAACACUCUCUCAUAUACACAUUAUUAUUUGCUAUUGUACUCCUCCUGAAUACUGAAUAUGCGUUGGUUCCAUCACAGGUGCUCUCCUCUUUCUCUAUCUUCCUCCCUUUGCCUCUCGUUCUCUAUGUUUUUGACUUUGUGUAUUUCUAUCUUUCUCGCUUUCAUCCUCCUUCCUUGGGCCUUUGUGCUUUUAUAGCUUCGCCUUGGAUUUUCAUUUGGAGGGAACAAUUGCUGCAUAUUUUGUGAAGAAGUUGUAUAGAGAAAGAGAGAGUUGUUAUCAUGAGAGAGUGGGUUAUGGUUACAAAAAGGUGGGCGUGUCACUCAAUCCCACAACUCUUAUGGAGUUAUUUUCAUGUUGAUUGGCGAGCAAUUGCAUAAAAACGGGCCUCGUGCGAGAUGAAAUCAUCUUCAUGCUGUGAUAAUGGUUGGUUCCAUGGAAGUAGGUUUGCUUCCAAAACUUCCACGUUUCACGGGGUGGCCUUUGUAUAGUGGUGGCAGUGGUUACACAGAAGUGAGACUUUUGCCCAGCUCCCAUAUUAUUCUUUCGCCGCCACAUGUCAUGGCGUCCUCCAAGAAUGUGAGUUUGGCAUCAUUGGGUGCUGAAAACUGAUAUUUUAUAUUGAACAUAUCAUUUCCAACUCUAUCAGUAGAAGUUUGUAUUUAUAUCAGAUUUGUCCCUGGUGAUGUCUUCUUGCCAGAGAAGGACAACCACAAUGAUCCGACUAGCCCUUCAUGAGAAUAAUAUCAGCUUUGUCCUACAAGAUCUUCAACCGCAAAAGGCUGUUGCAUAAUAUUGAGUUUUCCCCUAUUGCUUCCGUAUGUAGAAGGGCUUUUGUAUGAUACAAAAGCAUUUUCCUUGUAUAGUGGGAUGUUAUCUUUCAAAGAUUAGGGCAGUGUUGCACAAAUUAUGUUCUUCCAAUUGGACAUAAUGGACAGCAUGGUUCCUUGACAUACGACUGUAAAAUAUGCUUGUAUAAGCAUCUUGGCUAUAGAUUAGAUAUUGCUUCUGUCACAAUGAAACAUAAGGCGCUUAUGGUGUCACCUAUCUCUAGCAUAAGUCAUCAUAAACCUAAAUCCUAGGAGUAAAAGCCACAUAAGGUACCAGUCAUUAGAAACAUGAGCCACUCCAGGCCUAAGCCUUACUAGGGAGUGAGCCAUAUUCGGCAUAAGUCAUCUGAACCAUGUAAAGCAUGUUAUAUCUACGACAUGGGCUACUUUGACAUUGGCUAUUUGAAACAUUAGCUAUGUUAGGCAUGAGUCCCAAGCAUUCUUAGCAACAUGGAAACCACCCAAACAUAUCGCUAACAUUUUAGAUAGCUUUCUGUUUCCCCAAUCGCUGGAUCUUAAUAUACACCCUAUUAUUUUGUUCCUAGAUACGUUUGCAAAUAAAUAUUAAUAUACAGAUAUUCCACUUAUGUUUGUGGCCUGCAAUCCCCUAAGAAUCCAAUAAUAGUUUCUUUUGCUUACAUUUAUGUGUAACUGCAUGUAAGAUACUCAUUUUCAAUUUUCUAUGUAGUCUGUUUUAGGUUUGCAAAUGCUCACAUGAUCACAUUCUUAACUUAUUUUGCAAUAUAAUUGCACAGUUUCAUUUUAACAGUGACCAUUUGAAAUACACUAAAGCAUGUACUAGUUAACAUGCUGUCUAUUAAGGUUAUAACAACUUCAGCUGUGUAGAUGGCAUAUGCUUUAUGCGCCAUUUCAAAAUUAAAUAAGUUUUUUAGAUCUGCAGGAUGGUCUGCUUGUGGAGAGACGACUACAUCAGCGAAAGUGGAAGUGGAUAGUCCAUGGAGCCCCUAAAGGUCAUUCCUUGAGUGCUAUAGGACCCAUUGUUUCGAAUGAAUUGAACACAAAAGCUUACUCAUUAUUUUGUUCUACUACAACUGGAAGUAUUCAGGAAUAUCAACUCCCCAAGCACACAGGUGAGUACAUACUUCUAAGGUUUUCCCAUAAUAGCCUGAACAUGCGCCGUAGAAUUUCAGCUAAAUAAUCAUGGCUCUUUAACAGUUUCGCCAGAUGAAUAAAAUCCAUUAAGUCAUGUGGACAAUGAUCGCUUGGUCAAAUAUAAUCCAUGUAGAUUCAGCUAUUAAUAAAAAAUAAUAGAGGCAUUCUAAGGAGAUUAAGUUGUGCAUAAUGUAGGUUCUCAUUGUUUGAUGUAUUAAUUGUAUGACCACUUGUGAAAAUAUUUUAAUUGUCGUCCUAUGCUAUAUGGAAGUAUGGAUACACAUGGCUGCUUGAUUUAUAGUGCAAUAUGCUUGUACAAUUUCUGUUAUAUUCUAAGAAAGGGGCUUCCAAGGAUUGUUUCGUUCAUUAAAUUUGUUGGAUUGCCUAAAUUUGUGGGCAGAGAUCAACCUAGUGCUUCAGAUCAAAUUUUCUUCACAGAUUGUUCUUUUCAUGUGCAAACACUGAACAGGUUGAAUUAAAUAUUAUUCAAUCAAAUUUGCUGCAAAGCUUCACAUCUCUUGUUGAUAGUCUUUAAGAAUUGCACCCAAUUAGAACAAGCUUACCUUUCAGAAAUUAUUCAUCCUUCGUUAAGUUCAGCUUGAAAUUCAAAGAACAUCUUCUUUAAAGAUUUUUUUUCAAAAAAUUUCCAGCAUGUCCAGAUCACCCUAUCUUGAGAUUCGUUAGUGACUUUCACGAGAGCGAGAGAGAGUUACAUCAGUGGCCUUUUGGAAGUGAUAGCUCAAACAGUUUGUAUUUGCACCUCAGAUGUGUGGAAUGUGCGAGAUAUGACAUUACCUCGACAUUCUAAUGCUUAUGGUUAAGAUUCAGCUCAAUUUGAAGUAGUAAAGAGAGUUCCACUGACUACUUCUGAGUAUUAAUCCAUCUACUUAAUCAUUUUGAACAUAUAAGAGGUAUUCCAGAACUUCCAAAGGAUGCCCUGAAUAAUCAAAAAACUGGUCGUCAAGGUCAGUUUGUAUGACAAUAGGAGUGUGGAUUACCCAUGAACAUGCCAUGGAUACAUCGAUGAUAGUUGACUAUGGUGGCACAGUGAAGGAAGACAUUAGUUGGAUUUUGUUUGAGGCAAUAUUUAUAGCAAAAAGGCACCACCUGGAUUCAAAUUUGCGUGUACAGUAAUGCAGCAUGCAAAAAACAAAGCUUUCGGGAAGAGACACAAUGGGGAGAUAUAGAUUUGGUCGGUAGUUUGACCAAGGCAACAAUUACCAUUAUGCACUGCAACAUAAUAACCAGGGGCUUCAUUACGUAUAAUGACCACCCCUCAUGUCAGCAUCAGAUCUUCCACUCUCGCCUCCUUAUUUUUAACCAGAGCCUGUGCCAUUAAGUUAUGAAAUUUCCUAUACUUGUUGCAUUUCGGUUCUGAAAUUUACUAUCGAAGUUUAUAUUAGCAAGAUAAACUUGCAUGAGAUAACUGUUAUUUCAGUCGUCCAUCUGAUUGCUAUGAUUUAUAAGCAGAUCUGUGAACCAAGAGAGGCCAUAGAUGCAGGAAUUGUUUGUUCACACUAUUGUCGCUAUUUAAUAUUUCUAAAGGAGCCAUUUAUGGUUUUAAUAAGCACAUUCAGAAUUGGACUGCCAUCGACUUGACAAGAUGGCUAGUCCAGUCUUAGUCAGAUUCAACGAACAUCAAACCAGUCAGGAUGGUCAAGAGAAAAAAAAAAAAAAAGACAACUGGGAGGAGUUUUACUAACCAACCAGUUGGUCAAAUGAUGAUCCAUGCAUUCCAGCUCAAACCAAUUUUCAUCGGUACUCACUAGACCGACCUUCCAGUCCAGUGCACACCUUGCACCAAAUGUCGCAUGUCACAUUAAAUCCUUCAUGGAUUCUCAUGUCACAUAAGUCCUUGAUGAUUAAGGCAUCCAAGCAGUGAAUUUAUUUUAUGUAGUCAUAUGAAAUAUAAUCUGAAGUUCCAAAUUACUCUGGGUUUUAUGAUUGACGCAAAAUAGAAUAGUUGUGAAUUUGCUGAUCUAUUUCUGAUGAUUACUUGUGCUAUACCUUAAAAUCUGACAAAAGAAGAUAAUCUAAUUAUUUAACAAAACAAGAAAACUAAUAAGUCCAAAAAUAGAAUUUCUUGAAUCAUUCUUGAUUGAUGUAUCAUUACCUUUUAACCUUUCUAUCCUCGUAUGAGAUGAAAUUUGUGAGCAUGUGUAACACACCUGAAAAAAAACAAAUUAUCACCAAGGAAAUACAACUAUUUCAUGUAGACUUCUUGAUGAACAUUAUUAUCAUAUCACGUUUCAUCAGUAGACUUGCCAAUCUGAAUGAAGCGAAAAACAGAGAACACUAUAAUUCCAAUACCAAAACUGAUUGCAAUUCCACAAGACGAGAAAAGAAAUAGAUACUGUAGAAAACGAACAUGGGCUAUUAGUAUUGCAUAUUCAUAGUAAGGUUCUCACUCUAUGGAUGCCUCAGAGUAUGAUACCUCUAUAUCAACACCAUGUGACACAUCCUAACCAUUGAUUCUUUAAACAUGCAAUACGACCAUCUAGAAAAAGAAGUAUCAUACUUUGGCUUGCAGCAUGUUACAGUAUUUUAAUAUUAAGUUUUAACGAAAGGCAGGUGCAAACCAGGGACCUCAAUCACCACAAGGAUGGGUAAAUCACAUGCACCCGUUACAUGCCAAAUGCGCAACAGGUAUUCAAGGACUUCAGCUUCAAGGUGGCAGGAUAUUAUUCCCAUUACACGACGGGAGACUUGGAGAGCUUCAUUCAUCAGGUAACGGUGGUGAAUUUUCAGGCCCAACUGUCACCAACAUACGAAGAAAAGCAUUAUCCAAAUAUGAGUGGUCAAUUAUAGAUGUUCCAGAAACCGAAGGGUGGAAUGCAGAGUAUUGCAACAAUGAACGUGGACCAUCAAACUGCAUCUCAGGAGUAAAGGACAUACAGAGCGAGGAAGAAUCUAAUGAAUCAGGAAUAAUCAUACCAUCAAGAAGAAGGAAAGGACGAGCAUCUCUAGGCCAUCUAAUUCCAAGUACACUUGGCAAAAGUCUCAUUGCAGCGACUCCGUAUCAAUAUAAUUUCUUAACAAGCAGCAUAAGAAUUAAUUACCGGAUGCGUACAAUGCAGGCAGACAAGUCAUUUUUCAUUGUAACAGAGAGCGGUUCAACUUUUGAGUAUUUGUGGGCUGAGAACGUUUGGUUAUGGUUAAGUCAUGAAUACACUGUAUCUAUGAGAGGUGUGCUUGGAACUUACAACGGUAGCCUAUUUUUGGUUGAUGUGAAUGGAAACUUAAUUAUCAGAGAGAGGAGCAGCAAUGGAUUGGCAUGGAUCAACUGCACCGCCAUGAAUAAGGGGAGACAGGUUGCCCUAGGGCCCCCAUGGGAUGGAACAGCAGGUAUCGCACGCAGGAUUACAGCAAACCAGGCACUAUUUUUUGUGAGCAAAAAUGGAGCUCUGGUCCAGUUUGUGGUAAGAUCUCAACUGUACAAUCAUGGUUCCAAGUAAGAACUUCCUACUUUUAACAUGGUGAUUAUUUGUUCCAGUAGACUUCACAACUAAAGAUCAGAUACUUUGCAGGUCGCAUUGAGGAAAUUCACAUGGAAGAAUUGUCGAAGCCCCUAUGAAACCAAGAUUGCUUCUAUAGUAGAUCAGGAAGGUUUAAGAUCAAAUAUAGUGUUUGUGAUAGGAAACAAUGGUCGACUAUAUCAGUAUAACCUAGUGACUGAGUUAUGGCAUGAGCAUGAUCAACCCCGUCAUUUGAUCCUAUCAAAGUUGCCUGGCACUGUUAUUAGGCCGUCUCUUUCAUCGUUACGAGGAUCUUUAUUCAUGCGUUCUGAGGAUGGUGGGCUAAUAGAAUAUUCAUGGAAUGCAGUGGAUGGUUGGAACUGGAUCGAGCAUGGGAUACCAAAAAAAAAGUAAUUCUAGCUGGUGCACCAGGGCCAAGCUUUGAAGAUAACCAACUGUUUGUGAUUGGAUCAGAUGGUCAGGUUUAUCGAAGGUACAUGGUUGAAAGAAAAUGGAAAUGGAAAUCAUAUGGCUAUCCUUCCCCAGAAAGGAUUGAUGCGGCAGCUCAAACUAGAGAAAGUGCACAAGAUGGAGAGGAAGGUGGUAAGAUGUCGCAAGAAUGCAGCACAGAAGAUCCACCUAAUUUUGAAAGAGAUGCAUACAGCUCAUAUGGUUUCAACCGGCUCUGCAAUGAGAAGGUUUGUACUCAGUGGAAAGGUGCAACUCUGAAUCAAUAAAUCUCAAAACUUCAAUAAUAACUUCAGAAGUUGAAUUUAGAUCAACUUAAAAAAUCAAUUGAUCUCAAAACUUCAAUAAUGUCAGAAAAUGAAUUUAGAUCAACUUAAAAACAGAUCCACAAACUUGUAUAACAGUGAGCAGCAAUCUAAAAAGUUCACUUUUUUACAAUUAUUUUUCUAGUUUUGAUUCAGGGAAACGAUAAUUUCCCCUCCAAAAUGACUGAAUCACUGGAAAACCUCACUACACAACCAAAACAAACAAGUUCUCAGACAAAUUCAGAAUGUAGAUACAACCAGACAUUGACCGAAAACAAAAUCUAGAGUGGAACUGAUACCCACUCCCUAAUGACAUCAAUGUCUAUCAAGUAACUUGAUGAAUGAAAUGUUUGAGGUAGCUUUCUGGAGUACUUUCUAACUUAACUAUAUUUAAAGUAAUUAUUAGGCAUAAUCCUAAUUGUCCCCAAGAUUUUAAUUAAUCAACUCACUAUCUUCAUGCAGGUGGCAGCAGUUCGACCAAUACCCUUCUCUGAUGACUCAGUUGUGUUC
rnacentral:lncRNA from 1 species